GACAGAGGGGGCAAGCGUUGCUCGGAAUUACUGGGCGUAAAGGGCGCGUAGGCGGGAUGGCAAGUCGGUCGUGAAAUCCCUCGGCUCAACCGAGGAACGUCGAUCGAUACUGCUGUUCUUGAGGAUUGCAGAGGAGACUGGAAUUCCCGGUGUAGCGGUGAAAUGUGUAGAGAUCGGGAGGAACACCGGUGGCGAAGGCGGGUCUCUGGACCGUUACUGACGCUGAGGCGCGAAAGCGUGGGGAGCAAACAGG
rnacentral:rRNA from 1 species